rnacentral:rRNA from 1 species
AUUGAACGCUGGCGGCAGGCCUAACACAUGCAAGUCGAACGAGUGGCGGACGGGUGUGAAAUGUGGGGGAAACCGCGUUAUGGAGGGGGAUCACUACGGGACACGGUAGAUAAUACCGCAUAACCUCGGAUGUGCCCAGAUGGGAUUAGCUAGUAGGUGGGGUAAAGGCUCACCUAGGCGACGAUCCCUAGGUGGUCAGAGAGGAUGACCAGCCACACUGGAACUGAGACACGGUCCAGACUCCUACGGGAGGCAGCAGUGGGGAAUAUUGCACAAUGGGCGCAAGCCUGAUGCAGCCAUGCCGCGUGUGUGAAGAAGGCCUUCGGGUUGUAAAGUACUUUCAGCGGGGAGGCGUUACCCGCAGAAGAAGCACCGGCUAACUCCGUGCCAGCCGCCGCGGUAAUAC